GACGAACGCUGGCGGCGUGCUUAACACAUGCAAGUCGAACGGAAAGGCCUUUUCGGAGGUACUCGAGUGGCGAACGGGUGAGUAACACGUGGGUGAUCUGCCCUGCACUCUGGGAUAAGCCUGGGAAACUGGGUCUAAUACCGGAUAGGACCGCACUUUAGUGUGUGUGGUGGAAAGUUUUUUCGGUGUAGGAUGAGCCCGCGGCCUAUCAGCUUGUUGGUGGGGUAAUGGCCUACCAAGGCGGCGACGGGUAGCCGGACUGAGGGGUUGGUCGGCCACAUUGGGACUGAGAUACGGCCCAGACUCCUACGGGAGGCAGCAGUGGGGAAUAUUGCACAAUGGGCGCAAGCCUGAUGCAGCGACGCCGCGUGGGGGAUGACGGCCUUCGGGUUGUAAACUCCUUUCGCCAGGGACGAAGCGUUUUGUGACGGUACCUGGAGAAGAAGCACCGGCUAACUACGUG
rnacentral:rRNA from 1 species